rnacentral:rRNA from 1 species
GUGCCAGCCGCCGCGGUAAUACCGGCAGCCCAAGUGGUGGCCGAUCUUAUUGGGCCUAAAGCGUCCGUAGCUGGCUGCGCAAGUCCGUCGGGAAAUCCACUCGCCCAACGAGUGGGCGUCCGACGGAAACUGCACAGCUUGGGACCGGAAGGCUCGAGGGGUACGUUCGGGGUAGGAGUGAAAUCCCAUAAUCCCGCACGGACCACCGAUGGCGAAAGCACUUCGAGAAAACGGAUCCGACAGUGAGGGACGAAAGCUAAGAUCGCGAACCGGAUUAGAUACCCCGGUAGUCC